rnacentral:rRNA from 1 species
CCUACGGGUGGCAGCAGUGGGGAAUAUUGCACAAUGGGGGAAACCCUGAUGCAGCGACGCCGCGUGAAGGAAGAAGUAUUUCGGUAUGUAAACUUCUAUCAGCAGGGAAGAAAAUGACGGUACCUGACUAAGAAGCCCCGGCUAACUACGUGCCAGCAGCCGCGGUAAUACGUAGGGGGCAAGCGUUAUCCGGAUUUACUGGGUGUAAAGGGAGCGUAGGCGGCGAUGCAAGUCAGAAGUGAAAGCCCGGGGCUCAACUUUGGAACUGCUUUUGAAACUGAGUAGCUAGAGUGCAGGAGAGGUAAGCGGAAUUCCUAGUGUAGCGGUGAAAUGCGUAGAUAUUAGGAGGAACACCAGUGGCGAAGGCGGCUUACUGGACUGUAACUGACGUUGAGGCUCGAAAGCGUGGGGAGCAAACAGGAUUAGAUACCCUUGUAGUC